GCUCCCAUUUAGCCCAACCCCUCCUACAAAACCAUCUCUCAAAAAAACAAAACAUUUGAACUGACCAGUAAAGGCGAUUAAACCUCAAACCUGACGCAAUAGCACAUAGUACCGCAAGGGAAAAAUGAAAUAAAACUAAAAACCUAAGCAAGAAAAAGCAGAGACAAGCCCCCGUACCUUUUGCAUCAUGAUCUAACAAGAAACCACAGACAAAACGAAUUUUAGUCUGUCCCCCCGAAAUCAAGUGAGCCAUUUUUAGACACCUUAAAGGAUAUAGACCCAUCUCUGUAGCAAAAGAGUAGUCCGAUCAAAAAAUAGCAGUGAAAAGCCUAACGAACUUGAUGAUAGCUGGUUACCUAAUAAAAGAACUUCAGUUCUACUUUAAGCGCACUACAACAAGCACUAGUAACACCUUAAACUUAAAGCAUAUUCAAUAGGGGUACAGCCCUAUUGAAAUAGGAUACAACCUAAAGUAGAGACACCACAUCUAAAAAUCUUCAGUAGGCCUUAAAGCAGCCACCCACAAACCAAAGCGUCAAAGCUAACAAAUUAAAAAUUCCAAAAAAAAUACCCGACUCCUACCUCCACACUAGGUAAUUCUAUAAACGUAUAGAAGAACUUAUGCUAGAACUAGUAACCAGAACCAAUUCUCUCAACAUGACUGUAAAUCAGUUAUAGAAAAACUACUGAUAAUUAACAGACCAAAAAAGGAAGCUUUCCCCCAACUAGAUUAAGAAUACCCCCGACUGUUAACCCAACACAGGAAUGUUUUUAAGAAAGAUUAAAAGUUAAAAAAGGAACUCGGCAACCAUCAAUCCCAACUGUUUACCAAAAACAUAGCCUUUAGCCUCCCUCAGUAUUAAAGGUCCUGCCUGCCCAGUGAUAUUUUAAACGGCCGCGGUAUUCUAACCGUGCAAAGGUAGCGUAAUCACUUGUUUUCUAAAUAAAGACCAGUAUGAACGGCUUCAUGAGGAUUGACCUGUCUCUUUUAACUAAUCAGUGAAACUGAUCUACCAGUACAAAAGCUGGUAUAUAACCAUAAGACGAGAAGACCCUGUGGAGCUUAAAAUACGGACAUUAACCCGAAACCAAAAUAAUGUACUAUUUUUAGUUGGGGCGACUUCGGAUAGAAACAAAACAUCCGAGCCAAAGAGGCCUCCCUCUAACCAAGACCCACAUGUCAAAGAAAAAAUUUGAUCCAGUCCAAACUGAUUAACGAACUAAGUUACCCCAGGGAUAACAGCGCUAUCUUCUUCAAGAGUCCCCAUCGACAAGAAGGUUUACGACCUCGAUGUUGGAUCAGGACACCCAAAUGGUGCAGCCACUAUUAAAGGUUCGUUUGUUCAACGAUUAAUAGUCCUACGUGAUCUGAGUUCAGACCGGAGCAAUCCAGGUCGGUUUCUAUCUAUGAAACAUUUUCUUCAGUACGAAAGGACCGAGAAAAUAGGACCCAUGUUAUACAAUAAGUCCUCUUAAAUAUGGUUGACAACAACUAAAACCAAAUUUAACAAUUUAAAAAACCCGAGAUAUCGGGUUA
rnacentral:rRNA from 1 species